rnacentral:rRNA from 1 species
GAUGAACGCUAGCGGCAGGCUUAACACAUGCAAGUCGAGGGGUAGAGGCUUUCGGGCCUUGAGACCGGCGCACGGGUGCGUAACGCGUAUGCAAUCUGCCUUGUACUGGGGGAUAGCCCAGAGAAAUUUGGAUUAAUACCCCAUAGUAUUCUUGGUUGGCAUCAACUGAUUAUUAAAGUUUUUCGGUACAAGAUGAGCAUGCGUCCCAUUAGCUAGUUGGUAUGGUAACGGCAUACCAAGGCUACGAUGGGUAGGGGUCCUGAGAGGGAGAUCCCCCACACUGGUACUGAGACACGGACCAGACUCCUACGGGAGGCAGCAGUGAGGAAUAUUGGUCAAUGGUCGCAAGACUGAACCAGCCAUGCCGCGUGCAGGAUGAAGCAUCUAUGGUGUGUAAACUGCUUUUGUACGGGAAGAAACACUCCUACGUGUAGGGGCUUGACGGUACCGUAAGAAUAAGGAUCGGCUAACUCCGUGCCAGCCGCCGCCGUAAUAC